rnacentral:lncRNA from 1 species
AGAGAAAUGUGUCCUUCUCAAGUUUAUCAGGAGGGAUGGGGAACAGCUGGAAUCUAAUUGUCAACUAUUGGCCAAUGAGAAGCGAGAUGCACAAUUGAGAGCAUCCUGUUGGGCUGUAUCACCACCUGGUACGGAAACUGCACCGCCAUCAACAGCAAGGCUCUCCAGAGGGAGGUGCGGUCUACCCAACUCAUCAACAGGGGCAAACUACCUGCCCUCCGGGACAACUACAGCACCUGAAGUCACAGGAAGGCCAAAAAGAUCAUCAAGGACAACAAUCACGCGAGCCACUGCCUGUUCACCCCAGCUACCAUCGAGAAGGCGAGGUCAGUACAGGUGCAUCAAAGCUGGGACCCAGAGACUGAAAAACAGCUUCUAUCUCAAGAGGAACACUGGCAAGGAGAGUGAUGGAAUGUGGGCAGAAAAGAGUAACUGUUGCCGUGGAGACCAAAGAAGGAUUUCCUCAGCCUACUGAACCCUCCUACUGGACUCCUCUCUCUCUCUCUCUUUCUCUCUCUCUCCCUCUCUUUUCCUCUCUUUCUCUACCUUCAUCUCUCUCAUUCUCUCUUUCAGUCUCUCGCUUUCGUUCUCUCCCUUCUCUCUCUCUGUCUGUCUGUUCUACUCCCUCCCUC